rnacentral:rRNA from 1 species
UACGUAGGUGGCAAGCGUUGUCCGGAUUGACUGGGCGUAAAGCGCACGCAGGCGGAUGCGCGCGUGGGGUGUGAAAUCUGGCCGCUUAACGGCCAGGCGCCAUCCCAUACGGCGCGUCUGGAGUGAUGCAGAGGUCGGUGGAAUUGCCGGUGUAGUGGUGAAAUGCGUAGAGAUCGGCAGGAACACCCAGGGGGAAACCAGCCGACUGGGCAUCUACUGACGCUGAUGUGCGAGAGCGUGGGGAGCGAACCGG